rnacentral:sRNA from 2 species
ACGGAACCGCCGCCCAAUCGUCGAAAGGCGAGCCGGGGACCCAUCCGGUAAUGGGGUGAAUCCGCAGAGCCUUGCGGUAGGGAUCUCUUCCGUCCCGAACCCGUCAGCUAACCCGGUCGGCGGCCGACGGAAGGAACG